UACGUAGGGGGCAAGCGUUGUCCGGAAUCAUUGGGCGUAAAGAGCGCGUAGGCGGUCCGGUAAGUCCGCUCUGAAAGUCCAGGGCUCAACCCUGGAAGGCCGGUGGAAACUGUCGGGCUAGAGUCCGGAAGAGGCGAGUGGAAUUCCCGGUGUAGCGGUGAAAUGCGCAGAUAUCGGGAGGAACACCAAUGGCGAAGGCAGCUCGCUGGGACGGUACUGACGCUGAGACGCGAAAGCGUGGGGAGCAAACAGG
rnacentral:rRNA from 1 species